rnacentral:rRNA from 1 species
AGUGAACGCUGGCGGUAGGCCUAACACAUGCAAGUCGAACGGCAGCACAGGAGAGCUUGCUCUCUGGGUGGCGAGUGGCGGACGGGUGAGGAAUACAUCGGAAUCUACUCUGUCGUGGGGGAUAACGUAGGGAAACCUACGCUAAUACCGCAUACGACCUACGGGUGAAAGCAGGGGACCUUCGGGCCUUGUGCGAUUGAAUGAGCCGAUGUCGGAUUAGCUAGUUGGCGGGGUAAAGGCCCACCAAGGCGACGAUCCGUAGCUGGUCUGAGAGGAGGGUGCGCCACACUGGAAAUGAGACACGGUCCAGCGUCCUACGGGAGGCAGCAGUGGGGAAUAUUGGACAAUGGGCGCAAGCCUGAUCCAGCCAUACCGCGUGGGUGAAGAAGGCCUUCGGGUUGUAAAGCCCUUUUGUUGGGAAAGAAAUCCAGCUGGCUAAUACCCGGUUGGGAUGACGGUACCCAAAGAAUAAGCACCGGCUAACUUCGAGCCAGCAGCCGCGGUAA